AUGCGCAAGGGCCUCGCCUCGGCGACACUACUCAUUCCUUGGAUGCUUUGGAAGCAUCGGAACGACUGCGUCUUUGACAGAGCUAGCCCUUCUAUGGCUGCGCUUCUGGCUAAGAUCAAGGAGGAGGCGACCCUUUGGGCCAGAGCCGGCGCGCUGGGCCUGCGUGCCCUCAUUCCCCAGACCUGGGAUGUACACUAA
rnacentral:rRNA from 1 species